GCUCAUUAAAUCAGUUAUCGUUUAUUUGAUAGUACCUUACUACUUGGAUAACCGUGGUAAUUCUAGAGCUAAUACAUGCUAAAAACCCCAACUUCGGGAGGGGUGUAUUUAUUAGAUAAAAAACCAAUGCCCUUCGGGGCUCCUUGGUGAUUCACAAUAACUUCUCAGAUCGCAUGGCUUUACGCCGGCGACGGUUCAUUCAAAUUUCUGCCCUAUCAACUUUCGAUGGUAAGGUAGUGGCUUACCAUGGUUUCAACGGGUAACGGGGAAUUAGGGUUCGAUUCCGGAGAGGGGGCCGGAGGAACGGCCACCACAUCCAAGGAAGGCAGCAGGCGCGCAAAUUACACAAUUCCGAUACGGAGAUGUAGUGACAAUAAAUACUGAUACAGGGCUCUUUUGGGUCUUGUAAUUGGAAUGAGUACAAUUUAAAUCUCUUAACGAGGAACAAUUGGAGGGCAAGUCUGGUGCCAGCAGCCGCGGUAAUUCCAGCUCCAAUAGCGUAUAUUAAAGUUGUUGCAGUUAAAAAGCUCGUAGUUGAACCUUUGGCCUGGCUGGCAGGUCCGCCUCACCGCGUGCACUUGUCCGGCCGGGCCUUUUCUUCUGGAGAACCGCAUGCCCUUCACUGGGUGUGUUGGGGACCAGGACUUUUACUUUGAAAAAAUUAGAGUGUUCAAAGCAGGCCUUUGCUCGAAUACGUUAGCAUGGAAUAAUAGAAUAGGACGUGCGGUCCUAUUUUGUUGGUUUCUAGGACCGCCGUAAUGAUUAAUAGGGACAGUCGGGGGCAUCAGUAUUCAAUUGUCAGAGGUGAAAUUCUUGGAUUUAUUGAAGACUAACUACUGCGAAAGCAUUUGCCAAGGAUGUUUUCAUUAAUCAGUGAACGAAAGUUAGGGGAUCGAAGACGAUCAGAUACCGUCGUAGUCUUAACCAUAAACUAUGCCGACUAGGGAUCGG
rnacentral:rRNA from 2 species